AGCUGAUCGCCUUUGAAUUUACAGACCAGACAAUUUCAGAAUUCAGAAACAAAAUUUAGAGGCGAUUGCCGGCUGGAUACAAAGAAACACAAAAUACGUUGUUUUUUCUCCUGAAACUAGCGUCGAAGCUCGUACGAAAUGGAACAAACAGGCCAUCACAGUUGCUAAAAGCCUUGACAAUGCUGGUGCAGCGGUUGAACAACUAGCAGGCACAGCCGGGAGAAGGUCGUAAAUUGAAAAUUUUUUAAUUUCAACCUCAGGGAUGUUGCUGCGCUUCAAGUCAACGGAAUGCAAACUUUGUCGGACAUUGAUAAAUUCCUUGAAUUGCGAAAAUUAUAUUUACGUCUAAACGCAACUGAGGACAUUAAGGAAGUGGAAUAUUUGUGGAUUUUGUUGGAUCCAAACGUCCUUUACCGGGAGACCAAUCCAUGCGGGGAUCGUACCGCCUAGGUUACUCUGCAGUUACUCAGGAAUAGGUGCUGAGCAUAUUACCUUUAAAAAGAAAUUGUGCUGCUGAAAGUGUAAGGGAACACGGAUGAGACGGCCAGCAGGAGGACUACCAGGCUUCAGUCCCGCAAGUGCAGUCUGGACACAGGACGUAUGGACGGCAAAUCGAUGAAGCUGAUACGAGGUCAAAUUGAGAGAUCCAAGCCAAGCAUAUCAAGUAUCCCUUGUGCUCCUGAGAGCCCAAAUGAAUUGGCCAGCAGUAGGACUACCAAACUUCAGUGUCAACAAUGCAACCUUGGCACUGAAAUAUGGGCUCUGAUCCUCAAGUUCCUUCAUCGGACAAUCGGAGCACUGUGCCCAGGACGCGCAGCAUGGUUGCACGGUGGUCGGGGCCAGCACGUUCUACGCAUGGGUUGCCCUCCCGGAAAAGUACCUGUGGAAACCACAAAUUCUUCAAAUUUUACACUUCUUUAAAGCCUUCAAUUUGGACAGAGAUAUAAUUGUCGCAAUUUCAGGCAUUCCUCAAAAUCCGACAUAGUUUGUAUUCCGUUGUAAGAAGUCAGGAGGCUCCUAAUUUGGCCAUUGCUUGUCACACCCAACGAAUCUCGAAAUAGUGUUGAACAAAUUUAUCGUUUAAUUAAAACUAGGAAUAUUUUGUGGAAAGCGCAAUAAAAUGGUCACAAUUAUUUAAACCAGUAGUCGUACCUACCAACCUCUAAAAUAUAUAUACCAUGGACCAAGUUUUGGGUGUCACAGCAGGCAGCAAGAGACAGCAGUAAAAGCUGAAAGAAGCAGGACAAACACUCAUUGAUAUUAAACAACUGGAACCGUUUAUAA